UACGGGGGGAGCAAGCGUUGUUCGGAUUUACUGGGCGUAAAGGGCGCGUAGGCGGCCUCCGCAAGUCAAUUGUGAAAUCUCCGGGCUUAACUCGGAAAGGUCAACUGAUACUGCGGGGCUAGAGUGCGGAAGGGGCAACUGGAAUUCUUGGUGUAGCGGUGAAAUGCGUAGAUAUCAAGAGGAACACCUGCGGCGAAGGCGGGUUGCUGGGCCGACACUGACGCUGAGGCGCGAAAGCUAGGGGAGCGAACAGG
rnacentral:rRNA from 1 species